UACGUAGGGUGCGAGCGUUAAUCGGAAUAAUUGGGCGUAAAGGGUGCGCAGGCGGUAAGCUAAGACGGAUGUGAAAGCCCCGGGCUUAACCUGGGAAUGGCAUACGUGACUAGCUGACUAGAAUAUGGCAGAGGGAGGUAGAAUUCCACAUGUAGCAGUGAAAUGCGUAGAGAUCCGGAGGAACACCGACGGCGCAGGCAGCGUCCUGGCCGCUUGCUGACACUGAGGCACGAAAGCUGGGGGAGCAAACAGG
rnacentral:rRNA from 1 species